rnacentral:rRNA from 1 species
AAAAUGUUAAGGAUCUUUAACAUUUUAGGUGGCACAGAAUCGGAGGCCCCGACUGUUUACUAAAAACACAACACAGUGCAAUCAUUAAUAUGGUAGUAUACUGUGUGAAAUUUGCCCAAUGCCAUUAAUAUAAGAGAAGUUAUGGUCUCAAAAACUGUGACUAAUCGAAAAUCUGGUUAAUAGCGGUCUUAACUAUGAGGAUCCUAAGGUAGCAAAAUCAGUUGGCCAUUAAAUGUGGUCCGGUAUCAAUAAUGUAACGAUGGUCUCACUGUCUCUACAACUUGCUCAGUGAAAUUGAAUUACGCGUGCAGAUGCGCGUUGCCUUCAGAGGGACGGGAAGACC